rnacentral:misc_RNA from 1 species
GCAAACUUGGUCAUUUAGAGGAAGUAAAAGUCGUAACAAGGUCUCCGUUGGUGAACCAGCGGAGGGAUCAUUACCGAGUUAUUCAACUCCCAAACCCAUGUGAACUUUACCAUCGUUGCUUCGGCGGUCUCGCCCCGGGCGCCACUGCGUGCCCCGGAUCCAGGCGUCCGCCGGAGGACCUUAAACUCUUGUUUUCCCAAGUGGUAUCUUCUGAGUGGUUUAUUACAAAUAAAUCAAAACUUUCAACAACGGAUCUCUUGGUUCUGGCAUCGAUGAAGAACGCAGC